CCUGGCUCAGGAUGAACGCUAGCGGCGGGCUUAAUACAUGCAAGUCGUGGGGCAGCAGGUCCGUAGCAAUACGGAUGCUGGCGACCGGCAAACGGGUGCGGAACACGUACACAACCUUCCUUAAAGUGGGGAAUAGCCCGGGGAAACCCGGAUUAAUACCCCGUAACAUAAUGAAGUGGCAUCACUUUAUUAUUAUAGCUCCGGCGCUUAAAGAUGGGUGUGCGACUGAUUAGGCAGUUGGCGGGGUAACGGCCCACCAAACCUACGAUCAGUAACUGGUGUGAGAGCACGACCAGUCACACGGGCACUGAGACACGGGCCCGACUCCUACGGGAGGCAGCAGUAAGGAAUAUUGGUCAAUGGACGCAAGUCUGAACCAGCCAUGCCGCGUGGAGGAUGAAGGUCCUCUGGAUUGUAAACUUCUUUUAUCUGGGAAGAAAUCCAUGAAUUCUUUUGUGGUUGACGGUACCAGAUGAAUAAGCACCGGCUAACUCCGUGCCAGCAGCCGCGGUAAUACGGAGGGUGCAAGCGUUAUCCGGAUUCACUGGGUUUAAAGGGUGCGUAGGUGGGUUGGUAAGUCAGUGGUGAAAUCUCCAGGCUUAACUUGGAAACUGCCAUUGAUACUAUCAAUCUUGAAUACCGUGGAGGUCAGCGGAAUAUGUCAUG
rnacentral:rRNA from 1 species